rnacentral:rRNA from 1 species
GGGUUGUGAGGUUAAGCGACUAAGCGUACACGGUGGAUGCCCUGGCAGUCAGAGGCGAUGAAGGACGUGCUAAUCUGCGAUAAGCGUCGGUGAGGUGAUAUGAACCGUUAUAACCGGCGAUUUCCGAAUGGGGAAACCCAGUGUGUUUCGACACACUAUCAUUAACUGAAUCCAUAGGUUAAUGAGGCGAACCGGGGGAACUGAAACAUCUAAGUACCCCGAGGAAAAGAAAUCAACCGAGAUUCCCCCAGUAGCGGCGAGCGAACGGGGAGGAGCCCAGAGCCUGAAUCAGUGUGUGUGUUAGUGGAAGCGUCUGGAAAGGCGUGCGAUACAGGGUGACAGCCCCGUACACAAAAAUGCACAUAUUGUGAGCUCGAUGAGUAGGGCGGGACACGUGGUAUCCUGUCUGAAUAUGGGGGGACCAUCCUCCAAGGCUAAAUACUCCUGACUGACCGAUAGUGAACCAGUACCGUGAGGGAAAGGCGAAAAGAACCCCGGCGAGGGGAGUGAAAAAGAACCUGAAACCGUGUACGUACAAGCAGUGGGAGCCUCUUAAUGGGGUGACUGCGUACCUUUUGUAUAAUGGGUCAGCGACUUAUAUUCUGUAGCAAGGUUAACCGAAUAGGGGAGCCGAAGGGAAACCGAGUCUUAACUGGGCGUUAAGUUGCAGGGUAUAGACCCGAAACCCGGUGAUCUAGCCAUGGGCAGGUUGAAGGUUGGGUAACACUAACUGGAGGACCGAACCGACUAAUGUUGAAAAAUUAGCGGAUGACUUGUGGCUGGGGGUGAAAGGCCAAUCAAACCGGGAGAUAGCUGGUUCUCCCCGAAAGCUAUUUAGGUAGCGCCUCGUGAAUUCAUCUCCGGGGGUAGAGCACUGUUUCGGCAAGGGGGUCAUCCCGACUUACCAACCCGAUGCAAACUGCGAAUACCGGAGAAUGUUAUCACGGGAGACACACGGCGGGUGCUAACGUCCGUCGUGAAGAGGGAAACAACCCAGACCGCCAGCUAAGGUCCCAAAGUCAUGGUUAAGUGGGAAACGAUGUGGGAAGGCCCAGACAGCCAGGAUGUUGGCUUAGAAGCAGCCAUCAUUUAAAGAAAGCGUAAUAGCUCACUGGUCGAGUCGGCCUGCGCGGAAGAUGUAACGGGGCUAAACCAUGCACCGAAGCUGCGGCAGCGACACUAUGUGUUGUUGGGUAGGGGAGCGUUCUGUAAGCCUGUGAAGGUGGCCUGUGAGGGUUGCUGGAGGUAUCAGAAGUGCGAAUGCUGACAUAAGUAACGAUAAAGCGGGUGAAAAGCCCGCUCGCCGGAAGACCAAGGGUUCCUGUCCAACGUUAAUCGGGGCAGGGUGAGUCGACCCCUAAGGCGAGGCCGAAAGGCGUAGUCGAUGGGAAACAGGUUAAUAUUCCUGUACUUGGUGUUACUGCGAAGGGGGGACGGAGAAGGCUAUGUUGGCCGGGCGACGGUUGUCCCGGUUUAAGCGUGUAGGCUGGUUUUCCAGGCAAAUCCGGAAAACCAAGGCUGAGGCGUGAUGACGAGGCACUACGGUGCUGAAGCGACAAAUGCCCUGCUUCCAGGAAAAGCCUCUAAGCAUCAGGUAACAUCAAAUCGUACCCCAAACCGACACAGGUGGUCAGGUAGAGAAUACCAAGGCGCUUGAGAGAACUCGGGUGAAGGAACUAGGCAAAAUGGUGCCGUAACUUCGGGAGAAGGCACGCUGAUAUGUAGGUGAAGCGACUUGCUCGUGGAGCUGAAAUCAGUCGAAGAUACCAGCUGGCUGCAACUGUUUAUUAAAAACACAGCACUGUGCAAACACGAAAGUGGACGUAUACGGUGUGACGCCUGCCCGGUGCCGGAAGGUUAAUUGAUGGGGUUAGCGGUAACGCGAAGCUCUUGAUCGAAGCCCCGGUAAACGG